UAGCUCAAGUUGUAGAGCACAUGCUUAGCAUGCAUGAGAUCCUGGGUUCAAUCCCCAG
rnacentral:tRNA from 1 species